rnacentral:rRNA from 1 species
UACGUAGGUGACCAGCGUUGUCCGGAUUUACUGGGCGUAAAGAGCGCGCAGGCGGUCGUUCAAGUCGAGUGUGAAAGCCCCCGGCUCAACUGGGGAGGGUCACUCGAUACUGAUCGACUUGAAGGCAGGAGAGGGAAGCGGAAUUCCCGGUGUAGUGGUGAAAUGCGUAGAUAUCGGGAGGAACACCAGUGGCGAAGGCGGCUUCCUGGCCUGUUACCGACGCUCAGGCGCGACAGCGUGGGGAGCAAACAGG